UGAGUAACACGUAUCCAACCUGCCGUCUACUCUUGGACAGCCUUCUGAAAGGAAGAUUAAUACAAGAUGGCAUCAUGAGUCCGCAUGUUCACAUGAUUAAAGGUAUUCCGGUAGACGAUAGGGAUGCGUUCCAUUAGAUAGUAGGCGGGGUAACGGCCCACCUAGUCUUCGAUGGAUAGGGGUUCUGAGAGGAAGGUCCCCCACAUUGGAACUGAGACACGGUCCAA
rnacentral:rRNA from 1 species